GGAGGAAAGCAGGGGAUCGCAAGACCUUGCGCUCUUGGAGCGGCCGAUGUCUGAUUAGCUAGUUGGUGAGGUAAAGGCUUACCAAGGCGACGAUCAGUAGCUGGUCUGAGAGGACGACCGGCCACACUGGGACUGAGACACGGCCCAGACUCCUACGGGAGGCAGCAGUGGGGAAUUUUGGACAAUGGGGGAAACCCUGAUCCAGCCAUGCUGCGUGAGUGAAGAAGGCCUUCGGGUUGUAAAGCCCUUUCAGCCGGAACGAAACGGUCACAGCUAAUACCUGUGACUACUGACGGUACCGGAAGAAGAAGCACCGGCUAACUACGUGCCAGCAGCCGCGGUAAUACGUAGGGUGCAAGCGUUAAUCGGAAUUACUGGGCGUAAAGCGUGCGCAGGCGGUUUUGUAAGUCAGAUGUGAAAUCUCCGGGCUUAACCUGGGAACUGCGUUUGAAACUACAAGGCUAG
rnacentral:rRNA from 1 species